UAAAUAUGAGUGAAGGUGAGGAUGGUGGUGAUAGUAUAUGUGAGAAUUAGAGUAAAAGUAGAGUGAUCAGAGUUAAGACAAAGGUGAGAGUGACUGUAAAUGUGAGAGUGAAUUUGAAUAUGAGUAUAGUGUGAGUGUGAGUGUGAAAGUGAGAAUGAAGGUGAGUAAUGCAGGUAGAUAUUUGGCUACAUCAAUGAGGAUGAGAGUGAGAAUGAGAAUGAAGAUGAGGGUGAAGGUAAAAGUGAGAGUGUGAGGAUGAGAAUGAUGGUGAGGGUGAGAGUGAGGAUGAGUGAGAGUAAGAGAGUUAAUAUAAGUAAUAUAUGUCUAUAUAUAUAUAUAUAUAGAGAGAGAGAGAGAGAGAGAGAUCUUGAGAUCAUUUGAUCAAAUACUAUAUGAGAGAACUUUGAAGGUGAGGUUUGGGAUGUAGGCGUGCGUGUAAGUAAAAGCGAGACUGAGGGUGAUGGUGAGGAUGAGAGUGUGAGUGAUGUUAGGGUGGAGGUGAUGGUGAGUGUGAUAAUGAGAGUGAGGGUGAGAGUGAGGGUGAGACUUAUCAAAGUGAUUAUGAGGCUGAGGAUGAGAGUGAGAGUGAUUGUAAGUGUGAGAGUGAGGGUAAAAGUAAGAAUAAGAGUGAAAAACAGAGUGAGGGUUGGAGUGGGGUGAAUGUGGUGAUAAGAAUGAGAACGAGAGUAAGCGAGUUAAUGAGGUUGAUUUGUUGUUGAUAUGAUGAAUGUAUACUGCAAAAAUUAUUUCUACAAACACAAGAUUGAACUAAUCAAGUGUUGCUUUGUUUUCUUAAAAUUUCACCAACUCAGUUUCCCUUUUUCAUUUUUGCUCUAGACACGUUUUUUCACCGCAAAAUGAUAGUGGUCUAGUACAAAAACAAUGCUCUGCAAAAAAAUUCAUGAGAGUGAGAUAACGUGAGACUGAGAUAACAUGAGAAUGAGGAUAAGGAUAAGGGUGAGGAUGAGAUUGAGACAAUGAAUGUAAGUAAGAGAGAUUUUAAGAUUUUUAUCAAUACUAUGUGAAAGAGAACUUUGACGGUGA
rnacentral:lncRNA from 1 species